GCCGCCCUCUUUCUUCUUUCCUAAUACAUGCAAGUCGAGCGAACGGACGAGAAGCUUGCUUUUCUGAUGUUAGCGGCGGACGGGUGAGUAACACGUGGAUAACCUACCUAUAAGACUGGGAUAACUUCGGGAAACCGGAGCUAAUACCGGAUAAUAUUUUGAACCGCAUGGUUCAAAAGUGAAAGACGGUCUUGCUGUCACUUAUAGAUGGAUCCGCGCUGCAUUAGCUAGUUGGUAAGGUAACGGCUUACCAAGGCAACGAUGCAUAGCCGACCUGAGAGGGUGAUCGGCCACACUGGAACUGAGACACGGUCCAGACUCCUACGGGAGGCAGCAGUAGGGAAUCUUCCGCAAUGGGCGAAAGCCUGACGGAGCAACGCCGCGUGAGUGAUGAAGGUCUUCGGAUCGUAAAACUCUGUUAUUAGGGAAGAACAUAUGUGUAAGUAACUGUGCACAUCUUGACGGUACCUAAUCAGAAAGCCACGGCUAACUACGUG
rnacentral:rRNA from 1 species